GAUUUUAGAUGUUUUUUCCUUUUUGUUGAUUGGAGACCAAUUUUGUUUGUUUGGUGCAGAAACUUUUGACAGAGAAUAUAAGACUCGAAGCAAUUGAGCAGGUUUAGGAAGCUGGAGAAGGCGUGAAAGAGCUGAAACUGGUUAUAUUCGAAGACAAGGAUUUUGGUUCUGAAGUUAGUUUGCGCAGUUCUAUUGAGAAUAACAAUUCCAACCGAUCUGAAGUUGUUGGCCAUACUUUCAGUAUGUUAAGAAAUAAUGAAUGAAUGGUGAAAGAAGAGACAAAAAGCAGCAAUUGGAACAGAAAGCAGUGUCUCAUGAAAAGGAAAAUAUACUCUAAAGAAAGGAAAUCAAAAGGUAACAACAAAUUGGGAUAGGUGUCACUCCAGCACGCUUUAAGGCUUUCAGAAUCAACAAAGAAUAGUAGUGUCACAGACAAGAACUGCAAAAAUGAUUAAAAGUGAUAUAAAAAAGAAAUGGAGAGAAAGGAAGGGGAUUAGAAAAUCAGAAUAGAGGAGGGAAAUUGAAGAAAGAGCAGACCUCUCGAAACAAAGAACAGUAGUGUCACAGACAAGAACUGCAAAAACGGUUAAAAAUGAUAUAAAAAAGAAAUAGAGAGAAGGGAAGGGGAUCAGAAAAUCAGAAUAGAGGAGGGAAAUUGAGGAAAGAGCAGACCUCUCGAAUGCUCUGCGGGGUUACUUUCAUUUUGACGUUUGCAUUUGUUCUUUUUGUAAUUUGGAUUUCCAAAGAAUUAUCAAAAAGAGUUAUUUUAUUGUAUUAAGCAAGCAGUGUUCAUACACAUAUUUGGGAAUAUUAUUAGAAAUUUAUAUAUUA